rnacentral:rRNA from 1 species
AUAUAAAUUUAGUACUGUAAAGAAAAUUAAAUUAAUAUAUAAUUUAUACCUUUUGCAUAAUGGUUUAAUGAUAAUAUAAAAAAAAUUUUUUUUUCCCGAAAUUAGAAGAUUUAACUUUAUUAAAAUUUUUAGAUAUUAUAUAAUAUAAUGUUUCAAAAUUAUAAAUAUAAGUAAGGUUAGGGGUGAAAGGCUUAUCAAUUCUAUAGAUAUCUGGAAUAAUUUUAAAUGUAUUUAGUACAAAAUAAUGUUUGAAUAAAAAAAUCUUAAGAUUUUUUUAUAUUAGAAUAGAUCUAAUAUAAAUUUGUGAAUUAAUCUUCUUAUAAAUAAGUUUAUUAAUUAUUUUUAAGAAAAAUAAUCUAAUUUAUAAAAUUAUAAAUUUUUUUUGCAAUUUUUAAAUAUUUAAACUAUGUUAAAAUUAGUAUAAGUUAUAUUUUGUUUUUUAAAGGAACUCGGCAAAUUAAUUAUUCAUCUGUUUAUCAAAAACAUAGCUUUGUGUAAUAUAUACAAAGUAAAACCUGCCCAGUGAUUAUAAUUUAACGGCCGCAGUACCUUGACUGUGCUAAGGUAGCAUAAUAAAUUGACUUUUAAUUGAGGCCUUGAAUGAAAGGGUAAAUGGAUAAUUUCUGUCUUUAAUUAAUUAAUUAAAAUUUACUUAAAAGGUGAAAAUUCCUUUAAUUUAUACAAUAGACGAGAAGACCCUAGGAGUUUUGAUUUUUGUUGGGGCGACAAUAUAGCAAUAACUAACCUAUAUAAAUAAAUAGUAAAAUUAAACGAAUAGUUUUAAUAAUAAUUAAACUACCCUAGGGAUAACAGCAUAAUUUUAUAGUAAAGUUUGUGACCUCGAUGUUGGACUAGGGACUUUUAAAGCUAACAGCGUAAUUGGUAGUUCUGUUCGA